rnacentral:tRNA from 1 species
AGUACAGUCAGCUAAUUAAGCUUUUGGGCCCAUACCCCAAACAUGAUGGUUAAAAUCCUUCCUUUACUA